rnacentral:rRNA from 1 species
UACGUAGGGUGCAAGCGUUAAUCGGAGUUACUGGGCGUAAAGGGUGUGUAGGCGGUUUUCUAAGUUUGGUGUGAAAUCUCCCGGCUCAACCGGGAGGGUGCGCCGAAAACUGGGAGACUAGAGUGCGGGAUGGGAGAGUAGAAUUCCUGGUGUAGCGGUGAAAUGCGUAGAUAUCGGGAGGAACACCAGUGGCGAAGGCGGAACUCUGGGCCGGAACUGACGCUGAGGAGCGAAAGCGUGGGGAGCGAACAGG